rnacentral:tRNA from 1 species
GGAGGGAUGGCCGAGCGGUUGAAGGCGGCGGUUUGCUAAACCGUUGUACGAUUGAAAAGUCGUAUCGAGGGUUCGAAUCCCUCUCCUUCCG